rnacentral:rRNA from 1 species
GACGAACGCUGGCGGCGUGCUUAACACAUGCAAGUCGAACGGAAAGGCUUCUUUCGGGGGGUACUCGAGUGGCGAACGGGUGAGUAACACGUGAGUAACCUGCCCUUCACUUUGGGUUAACUUCAGUAAACUAGGGCGAAUACCGGAUAGGUACUCCUGCUACAUGGUGGGGGUUGGAAAGUUUCGGCGGUUGGGGAUGGACUCUCGGCUGAUCAGCUUGUUGGUGGGGUAGUGGCUUACCAAGGCUUUGACGGGUAGCCGGCCUGUGAGGGUGACCGGCCACAUUGGGACUGAGAGACGGCCCAGACUCCUAAGGGAGGCAGCAGUGGGGAAUAUUGCACAAUGGGUGGAAGCCUGAUGCAGCAACGCCGUGUGCGGGAGGACGGCCUUCGGGUUGUAAACCGCUUUCGCUCAUGACGAAGCUUUGUGUGACGGUAGUGGGUAAAGAAGCACCGGCUAACUACGUG